UACGUAGGGUGCGAGCGUUGUCCGGAAUUAUUGGGCGUAAAGGGCUCGUAGGCGGUCUGUCACGUCGGGGGUGAAAACACGGGGCUUAACCCCGUGCCUGCUUCCGAUACGGGCAGACUAGAGGUAUGCAGGGGAGAACGGAAUUCCUGGUGUAGCGGUGAAAUGCGCAGAUAUCAGGAGGAACACCGGUGGCGAAGGCGGGUCUCUGGGCCGUAACUGACGCUGAGGAGCGAAAGCGUGGGGAGCGAACAGG
rnacentral:rRNA from 1 species